rnacentral:rRNA from 1 species
UACGGGGGGAGCAAGCGUUGUUCGGAUUUACUGGGCGUAAAGGGCGCGUAGGCGGCCAGCACAAGUCAGUUGUGAAAUCUCCGAGCUUAACUCGGAAAGGUCAACUGAUACUGUGCGGCUAGAGUGCGGAAGGGGCAACUGGAAUUCUUGGUGUAGCGGUGAAAUGCGUAGAUAUCAAGAGGAACACCUGCGGCGAAGGCGGGUUGCUGGGCCGACACUGACGCUGAUGCGCGAAAGCCAGGGGAGC